rfam:Tatumella morbirosei strain LMG 23360 Contig2, whole genome shotgun sequence.
CGUAUGAUGCUGCCGCCAGCGGCAUAAAAUCGGCUAUGGCUCCGCGGCCUGUGCCUGCACAGCAUUAAAUACAUUCAGGUAUCU